ensembl:lncRNA
CACUCCUUCCUUAGGGGGUAAAAGCAACAUUCGGCACUAGGGGCAGGUCAAGGCGAGGCAGUCACGUGUUGGGCUCCUGGGCCAAUGGGGGACCCCGGGAGGACUCCGCACCCACCUCUCCCCAGCACCAGGCUCGCCUCUUUAGCUCUUAUAAGGUAAAAGGCAGAGAACCCUCUGUGGCCAGGGAGCCGCGGGCAAGGGGCUAAGGGGAGGGGGUCCAGUGCCAGUCGCUUAAAAAUGCCCCUGUGGCAGUGAGGGGUGCCAGAGGCUGGGUCAAGUUAGUCGUGAAGCAGUGAUACCCCCAACCAUUCCCCACACAGGCUGGCCCCCCAUCGCCAGGCGCAAGAAGCCACACCUGGACCAGACUCCAGGCGAGGCUGAGCAAUGAAACCAAAGAAAGGAGAACUGAUCAGGAGCUGAGAGUCUCUGCCUCCCCACAUUCCUGAUGAAAGACCCAUGCAAGCCUGUGUGAUGUGAUGAGUGAGCAGCUUGCAGAAGAUGGAGGGAACGGUAGCAAUCUUCCCUAGAAAGAGUGAAGAGAGCCAGACCCGGAGACAGGAGGCCCUGGGACAAAUCACAGCCUCUCUGAGCCUGCUGAAGGUGCCUGGGAGGAGGAGACCGUGCCCAUGGAACCAACGUGACCUCUGGGGUUUCUUCAUCACAACACCCUUUCCUGAGCCCUGAGCCUGUGCCAGGCCAGUUGAUGAGCUGAGGACAGCGAUGAAAGACCCAUUGCCCUUGCUCCUGUGGUUCAUAGGGGGAUUGGAUAUUUCCAUCCAGAGGAGCUGUAGCAAGAACCCAACCCGACCCUGACGUCAGACAGCCCCCAGUACCCAUCCUGCCCCACUCCCUUUCCAGCUGGAUCACUGUGGUCAAAUGACAGCAUCUUCACGCCUAUUUCCCCUUCUCCCAAACAGGGCUGCGAAAGCUCCCGCUUCAUAGGGCCAACAGGAUUGAUCAUCAUUGUCCAUACUCUCAUCGGACAGAGGGAAAAAUGAAAGCCCAGAGAAGAAAGGGGCUCAGACAGGGUCACAGCAGGAGUUGGGAGUUAAGUCAGAAGCAGAGCUUCCAGACAGAAGACAGAGGAUCCUGGGCUGGCUGGCGACAUUUCCUGAAGACUUGGGGCAAGGGAGGGGGAAAUGGCAGUCCCCUGGGGUCAGCCUUCCAGGCUGCCAGAAAGCCCUCCCUGAACCUCCAGGUAAAAGGUCCACCCGGCUCAGCCUCAUCCUUUCAUAGAAGGGGAAACAGAGAAAAGUGAAGAAAUAGUGGUGCCAACUGGCAACAGAACCUGGGACUCCAACCGACCACCUGUCUCAUCUUCUGACUGGGGACCCAGAGCACGAAAGAGCCUCCGUGGGGUAAGUGAGACAGGAGCUCUGUGGACCCCCUGCUCAGGGAGGCCCUCACUGGAAGGAGGCAGGGGUUGGGACAAGUGCCAUCGGCCAUCCAAGCAAGUAUGCAUGACCCAAAGGAAGCGUUCCAGGGGCUGAAGAGCCAGGAACAGUCCGCCCUCCACAUCUCUCCUUCCACCCCACCAACUGUGCACUUCCUCCUCCAAGGAGCCUUCCCAGCUCCCCCAGGGACAGGACCUCUUUGUCUUCCAAGCCUUUGUCAGUCCUUUCAUGAGCUCUCCUUGUCCUACUUGGCUCUGUGUCUAUCCCCAUUCCCUGCUCAGAGCAGUUUCUGGUUUUGGUUUGGUUUGGUUUGGUUGGUUGGCUUGUUGGUUGGUUGGUAUUAUGGAUCAAACCCAGGGCUUCCACACUGAGCUAUAUCUGCAGCUCUUUUUUAUUUUUAUUCUGAGACAGGGUCUUGCUAAUUUGCUAAGUUGCCCAGGCUGGGUUCAAACUUUCUAUCCUCCUCCCCCAAUCUCCCAGAGUGCGAGGAUUACAGGUGUGGGACAGGGCAUUUUGCUUCUACCUCAGCCUGACUACCAGGCUCAGCCCCAUCUCCCUGGGCACAGAAGAGGCACUUGGUUUGCUCAAUGACCAGGUGUAAUGAUAAGACCCUGUCCUAAACCCAAAGGACUGGGGAACUGGUCCGGGAGGAGAGACCCAGUGUGGAGGUUGAUGGAGGGGGUGUGGAAUUGUUUACUCUGAGCUAAGAAACCCAGCACAGCUCCUUGCUCUGUGGCCUCAGAAAACACCCCUGCAGUGGAGCCUUAAGGACGCACAGGGAUUGACACAAGAAACCAUUCGAGAAGUGGCCAUUUUGGUUCUAGUCAUCACCUGUGUGAUUGCUCUGGUACUGAGGAGCAGAACUAGGCAGCUCAGACCGCAGCCAUAGAGGAAUUACAGCUUCUGUCCAGUGUCACUUUCUCCUGGAGAAGCAUGGCCACCUCUGCUGCCCUGUUCCCACGGCAGAGUCAGCUGUCUGCUGUCUGUGCGCCCUUCACCCUCGAGGUGAGGUAGAAACGUCCUGAGCUCGCCUUGGAGGUGAUCACUGUCCUGCCUCACCUGCUAUUGGAUUCAGAUGCGAUGGGAUGGGGCAUUGUUUCCCAAACCCACCCCUUCAGACGCCUCCUUUUUUAUUUGUGCACACAAUCAUAGUAUUUAAAAAUAUAAGAUGAGUCCUCCAAGUACUUAAAUAGAAACAGUUAUGAUAAAAUGAAAACUAUAGCACAGUCCAAAGGUAGAAAUAAAUACAGUGAAAAUGAAACAACGUGGUUAGGCUUUAACCUAACAUGUGGCUUGCAGGAUCCUGAGCAGUAAGAGGGGUCAGGAAGGUGUCAGCCCACGCAGCAUGGAAAGCGAAGUGACACAGAACACCAGAGCCACUCUGUCCUCAAGUGACUCAGUGCUGAGACCACCGGCUCCCACACCUCAGGGGUCAAGCCGAGCACCUCCUCUCCCGGGUGCUGGAGCCAGGGGAGCGGCAUGCACAGGUCGUCCACCUGGCCAAUCGAGUCCAGGGUUAGAACUGCUGCCAAGCCAGGGCCAGUUUGAAAGGUUUCUUUUUCUCUCCUCCCCUCCCUCCCCCUCCCCCUUCUUCUCCUCUUCUUCCUCCUCUUUCUUCUUUUUCUUUUCUUUUUUUUUUUGAAUGGUCCUGGGCAUUGAACCCAGGAUCUUCACACUAAGCUGCACCCUGGCCCUUUUUAAUUGAUUAAUUUUUUUUUUUGGUACCAGGGAAUCGAACUCAGGACCUUGUGCUUGGAAGGCAGGCGGUGGCACCACUGAGCUAAAUCCCCGGCCUGGCCCUUUUUUAUUUUGAGACAGUAUCUUGCCAAGUUGCCCAGGCUAGGCUCCAGUUUGCAGUCCUUUUGCCUCAGCCUCCCAGAGUGCUGAGAUAACAAGUGUGCAAGAGUUUUUGCAAGAGGAAGGGAGUUCUUUGGCUGAGAAUACCUCUGGCAGGCUGUCCCCUCAGCUGCCGGCAGACCUGCCCCAAGCAACAGACUAGAGGUAGACGUCCCACUCCUCCCGGAGACUGCAUUGAGCCUUAGGUCAGAUUCCUGAUGCAGGUAGGCAUGGGAGACAUUUUGUUUUUUUAAUGGAGGUGUUUUCUUUCUUCUUUCCCAGACCUGAGGAAAGGCUGCCCAUGCCCUUCAGACAUCCUUGAAAGUGUAGGUCACUGGCAUUGAGGCCACCACGGUCGCCAUCAGACAGAGCAGGAGGCUCCUCGGGCACCCUGAGAGCCUGGUGGGGCAGGAGUGGGGGAGGGGACGUUCCCACCCAAGCCAGGCCCAGAGAAGGAAGUGACUUGUCUACAUGGUCAUUCAACCUGCCAUACAUGGCGCCCCUGCAGUUACUCACCAUGGACAAAGCCAUCAGCCAGGUCUAGGGACCACAAGAUAUGGAGCUCUGUCCUCAGGGAACCGGAGAUCUCACCAGGUCCAAUCUAGGCCCAUGACUCUCAUUCUAGAGAGCCUGAGGCUGAGGGGUGAUCCACGCUGCCUGCUGUGAUUUAGGAGGUGAGGCCGGUUCACCACGUUCUUUCCCUCACGGUUGGGCCACCAGUCCACGACAAGUGAAGUUGCCUUUCAAGAGUGGUAAAGGGCCAGGGGCCAGGGAUUUAGCUCAGUGGUCCCGCCGCCUGCCUCGCAAGCUCAAGGUCCCAAGUUUGAUCCCUGGUACCAAAAAAAUAAAACCAAAAAGAGUGGUAAAGGGCCAGGUGCAGUGCCACACACCUGUAAUCCCAGCACUCUGGGAGGCUGAGGCAGAUGGCUUACAAGUUCGAGCCCAGCCUAGACAACUAGAGAUUUAGGAAGACUCUGUCUGAAAAGAAAAGAAAAGAAAAGAAAAGAAACAGAGAUGUGGGGGACCUGGGGAUGUAACUUUAAAAAGUACAGGAAUGGAGCAGUCACAGUAUGGGCAAGAUCACGGGAGCAGGGGGACGCGAGGUGGAAAGAAGCCAAAGGCUGUCCUCUCAACUGACACUGCACACAGGAAGAGGAGAGGCCGGGGAGCCAGGGGACUGUGUGAGCCUGGAGCAGCAAAUGGGGCAGCAGUGGCCUAAAAGAGAAGCCUGGGGGCAGAUGGGACAGAUGGGACAGAUGCAGAGGCCCUCCGAGCUGAGGGAGGGUUCAGAGUCAGCCUGGGGCAGAGGGAGCCCUUUGGGGUUAUAAAUCCAAAAAAGGGCCACGUUUGCAUUUGAGGUCUCUUGUUUCCAUUCCUCCCAGUGCGUCUGGAAGGGUGGGUGGGAAGAAGGGAGGAGUGGAGGAAGGGAGACAAGGUAGGGCAAGUGCUCCCUGGACACAAUGUCAAGUCCCAUGGUGCCAUUUGGCUGCUCCAAGCAGAAGGAUGGGGCCAUGGGGUCCACAAGCUAGGUCAGAACAGACAGAUCUCUAGAGACAGAAACUGGUCCACCUCAGGUUGGAGUUAGCUGAGGAGGGAGCGGUUAUGGGUGGGGUGAAGUAUUCUAAAAUUGUGGCAACAGCCGGGAAUUUAGCUCAGUGGUUCUGGUGCCCUGCCUUAAAAGCCCAAGGUCCCAAGUUCAAUCCCCGGUUCCAAAAAUAAAUAAAUAAAUAAAAUUGUGGCAACAGUUGCACAACUUUGUGAAUAUUAAAAACCAAUGAAGGAGCAGGGAGUGUAGCUUGGUGGUUAGAGAACAUGCUUAGUGUGCACUUGUGUGAGGGUCUGGGUUCAAACUCCAACACUGCAAAAAAACAGCAAACCAAAUUAUUUAAUUGUGCACUUUCCAUGGGUAGACUCCAUGGCAAUGAAAGAGAAAAGGCCAGCAGGGCUGGAGGUGCAGCUCAGUGGUUGAGCACUAGCUUAGCAUCACCAGCACUGCGAGGAGGGAGAAAGGAAGAUGGGGUUUGGUUCAGUGGGCUCCAGUGGCCUCCAAGGACAGGAAGCACAGCUGGGGCAGCAACAGAAGCCUCCAGGCAGGGCUGGGAGAGGCAGCCAGGAGGAGUCGCCUCGGCCCAGCCACCUCGCCAGCAGCGCGGCCCUGUCCCCCAGCCUGAGGUGCAGUGCUGCAUCUCUGGUCAGUUGGGAGUCUGAGAUGAAGCACUGUAGCUCGGGAAGGGAGAAGUUGUUCUGCAGCCUUGGCCUGGACAAGGUAAGUGGUGACAGUGGCGGGGGGGGGGGGGGGGGGAAGGAUGGAUGUCCCCAGACUCUGUGCCAUCAGCAGAGUCCUGGAUUCCAGACCCACCAGAGCCGCCCGAUGCCUCUGUGCCCGGGGUCCAUCCGUGACAUGAGGGGCUGCACAGUUCCGUGGUGGCCGUUAGGCCCUGCAUCCUGGACAGCUGCUGUUAAUGACCCAGAGCUGAGUGAAUUGCCCGUGGGCAGAUCGGACGACUCCUAAAGACUCUUAAGCAUGGGCUGGGGAUUUAGCUCAGUGGUUUCAGCGCCUGCCUCGCAAGCGCAAGGUCCCAAGUUCGAUCCCCAGUACCAAAAAAAAAAAAAGACUCUUAAGCUUGGGAGACAAAAGCCCUGGUUCUGAGUCAGGGCCUUCACUCUCUGAGCUCCUCAGCUUGGCUCUUUCAGUUGAGCAAUGGGCAGCGUGAGAGAACCACUGGGCCGAGCACAGUGCUGUUUAACCUCCCAGCACACAGUGAGGGAGGGGGCGGGGGGGCAGUGUGCUGCUGGCCCACUUUAUAGAGGAGAAAACCAAGGCUCAGUUAAGCAGCUCAACCAAGGUCACGUCUCGAUUGUGCUCAGCUGGUUGUACCCUAAUCUGUCUGCCUUCAGGCUACUGCUCUACCCACUGCUGGGAUCAUGGAAUCGGGGAUGGGGAACAGGAGAACAUAAGGAAUCCCACUCUGGUCUUUACACCUAGAGUUACUGUUCACAAAAGCAGACCCAGACACCUCCAUUAAUGGUAUGGGCUCACCCCACAUCCUAUCCUAUCAACUCAGCUGUUCCAUAGGACCUGUACCGUCUGUCCCAUUUACAGGCCAUGGUUCAGGGCUUGUGACUUGCUGGAGGUCAUCAGAGAAAGUUGCCAACUUGGGUGUGAUGGUACACGCCUGUAAUGCCAGCCCUCUACAAGGCAGAGGCAAGAGGAUUAAGAGUUCUAGCCCAGCCUGGGCCACUUAAUGAUUUAGCAAGACCAGGUAUCAAAAUAAAAAAUAAAAACAGGACUAAGACUGUAGCUCACUAUGAAGGCCUUGGGUUCAAUCCUUAGUACAAAAAAAAAAAAAAGAAAAGAAAAAUGUAGAUGUGCCCUAUUCACCCUCUGGCUAGCGACUGGGGUACACUUGAGCCAGGGUAGCUAAGGGGAUUGGGGGUGCAGCUGGGGACUGAGGUCCCAGAUGGUUUCUGAUCAACAAGCUCACCAGGCCGCCUUGGUGAUGGGAAGGUACUUUCCAGGGCACUCAAAUUCCAGUCACUGCUCUUCCCAGAGCAGGAAGCCGCAUCCUGUGAGUGGCGCCCCCGCCGGCCGCUCCCCUGGCUCACAGGGACAGGGCAGGCCUUGGUGCUGAAGGCCACUCUCCCACCUUGUCCUCACGGUCCAGUUUUCCCAGGAAUCCCUUGGAUGCUAAGAUGGGGAUUCCUGGAAAUACUGUUCUUGAGGUCACGGUUUAACAGCUGGACUCAUCUCUCGCCCACCCCAACUCUGCCCCUGAGGGAAGAGGGUCAAGUAGAAGGCCAAGCGCUGGAGGUAAGAGGGCCUGUGAACCAUGUUCUUGACCUUGAAGUUGUUUUUCUUCCCACUGUGUCCAUUUCGUAACAUCCCUGUGAGGCUGGAUGUGGGGAAUGCAGCACUGUCCAUGCUUGGGAAACUUGUCCCAAGCCAGCAGUGGCUGAAGCAGAAUAGAAUCCCCUCUCAGCUCCCCCUACACCACCACCCUCCCUGGAGGCUUUGUUAUAACGGGGCAUGGUAUCAUAUCCACAUGACUGAGAAACUGAUAUAUGCACAUGAAUUUAUUUUACAUGUUUAUUAAAUCAUUAAGCCAGGCAUGGUGGUGUAUGCCUGCAGUCCCAGGUACUCAACCCUGAGGCAGAAAGACCACAAGUUCAAGACCAGUCUGGAUUACAUAGCAAGGCCCUGUCUCAAAAAAAACAGGCAAAAAAAAGUUUAUUACAUCAGCUAGGUAAACUACAAACCAUAAAUCUUUGUUCAAUUUGGAAUAUAGCCACAGAAAAAUGGAAAAUUUGUCAUCAAGGUAGAGUAAACAAGACUCAGGACGCCCCCUUGUGGUACUUGUACCCACUGCAGGAACUGUGGCUGCUCCAUGUACACUCUAAAGUAGCUACAAGACUCAGGACUAAGAUUUACCCUGAGAUCCCUUUGCCUCAGUGGCCUGAGGAUGUCAUUAACAGCAACACCUUCUCUGUUGCUUACCCUCUUUUCCUUCCAAAACCUGGUGUCCUCCUCAAACCCAGCUAAUGUCAAUAGGGUUAAUGAGGUUCAGAGAAGUAAAGUGACCAACCAAGGUCACUCGGACAGCAAAAGGCAGAACUAGGACUGGUUUCAAGUUCAAUGGCCUUUGCCAAUCUCUUAGCCAAAAGAAAAACCUACGAAAAUCAAGAAUAAAGGCUGCCUAUGGGUAAUGCUAACUGACUGAAUGUCGGAGCCCUGAAGUGGUCCAGGUACAUAACUAGAACUUCCCCCAAAUUCUUCCUGGUGCUUUUUAUGGAGUUAGUGGAGGUGGUGACUGCCGUGGCCCCAGGGGCCUCAUUUGGGCUGUGAUCCCCCACAUUCCCAUGGACCAGGUGGCUUCCCAGGCUGUGUUCCUAACUGGCCACACUGAAGACAUUCAUGAGCUGAGACCCCAUGGCCUCUCUGUGCUCUGUGACUAAUAAAGUGCUGGACCUUUGCCUGGUGUCCUGUCUCUUCCUGGGAACGUGCGACAGGGGAGGUAGCGAGCGCAGAGACAGAAUCUCAUGAUGGCCCCAGCUGGGGUAACUCCCAAGUGCCUCCACAUGACGAG